AAUAUGCAGACACUAAAGUUCUGCAGCCAAAUUCUCAGGAACCUUCCUCUUCAAUAUAGGAUCAGGAUUUUGUUUUGAAUUGUUUUAUUUUUUUAAAAAGUGCUGAGCAGAUGCUACACUGUAAGAAAUGGAAACAGAAGCAAAAACUGAAAGACUGUUACUAAAACCAAUGAACAGCUGCAGAGAGUGGAGACCCGGCAAAGCAGACAAAUGAAUACUGAAAGGGAUCCCCAAAGGAGGUGCAAGGAUCCGGGACUCUAGUGUCUGCCAGAAGCUUCAGCCACCUUCACAGGUUAGAGCUCGCCGUCCAUUGCGGAGGUGAAGACCGGAUGGGAGCUGCUGGAUUGACCUUGAUGUGCCAUGUCCUUGUGUGGAUGAAGGACCUACAUCUCAGGGGUGGCCAGCAGCAGAUGUAACACCUGUGUCCAGGAA